CGACGCCACAUGCCUAUAUAAGAGGAUCGCUCGGCGUGGCUCAACGCAUUUGUAAAUCAGUUUCCAGAGCAGUCAGAAGUGGCGUUCAAAGUGUGCAGUAGUGUGAAAAUUUCUUCCUCCACUAUGUUUAUAGUUAAUUCAUCAUCAUUUCUUGGCAAUAAUACCAUUAUUGCAAUAUCAUCCACGAAAUUGAAAAUUCUCCAUUUCACCAAAGAAGACACAUGAAUUUUCAAGAAUGAAAUUAUUGAAGAAAGAAAAAAAGAAUGGCUCGACGCAUUCAUAAAGAAAUUUUCGGUUCGGAUGCAGCGAAUAUUCAAUUCCACCGACUGAUCAUAUUUCUUCUAUUAUUGCGAUCUACGACAACAUGACAUGAAAACAGACGAAUGGAUUGCGAAGUUGGACUAUUUACGGUGUUUCUACUUAAAAACAAGAUAUGUAAUAAAUUUGAUCGUAAAAGAGGAUCACGGAAUAAAUGAAACGAGUCUUUUUAUAUUUGUUUUUAUAGUGCACCCUACGGGGUCGGUGCUUGAACGCAACUAUAAUAUGGUCUGAUUAGAGUUUGAAAUUUCUUCAUACAUUUUGAACUAUUUGAGAAGAGCAUCUCGAGAUAUAUUAGGUAAGCGGUUAUUGAACCGAUGUCUUUCUUAUUGUUCUACAAUCUUAACGUUAAUAUAAGAUCAGAAAAUUAACAUUUAGGGCUCACAGUGUCGCUACUUAAUUAUUUAAUGCAAAAUAAUAUAAAUAUAAAUCAUAUUAUAUGUUAAAAAUAAUAUUUUAAAUUGAAUGUAUAAAUUUUGAAAUAUAUCACAUUUCAAAGAAUUCUUUUUAAAUCAAAAUGAUCGUAGCGUCACUUUAGCCUUUAUCCUAGUUUAGUUACAAAUCAGUUAUCUAAAAUAUCGUUUUUUAUUUCCUCUAUGUUAAAUAGAAUUUAAUGUAUUUUCACGAUGUCUGCUCACUUCUGAGAGAAUCGUAAAGUACCGACUGUUUAAAAUAUGUUGAUGAGGAGCACUCGUUAGUUUUAAAUUUUAUCGAUUUUUAACUUUAUUUUUUAAAUUUCGUCCGUUUAUUACUUUACUGUAACUUCUUUAAUAAAUAUUCGAUCAAAUAAUAUAUUAACUUAUCUCGAAUUAUCGAAGUUGAAAUCGAUAAAUGCAAAUUGAUAUUUCUACGAAUGUGCCUCAUCCACGUGAAAAUCUUUAAUUCAACGUGACGUUCUUUUUAUAGUUUAGAGCAGACUCGUAGUUAGAGGUCGAGAAUAAAUUAUGGGCACCAUCUUGUCUAAACCAAUACUCUACUACAAAGGCAUACGGAAUUUGGGAAUUGAGAAAAAAAAGUACAGAAUCAAAUAGAACAGGAAAUGAAAAAAAAAAGACGAUUUUGCGGUUAAAAAUAUCCAAUAUAAAUAAUUAAAUAUACAAUUUCGAAAUACGAUUGAAGAUCUUCCGGUUUUAUGAUUGGAAACGUACGGUAGCCUGUUUUUUCUUCAUUUAGAAAAAAAGUUAAAUAAAAAGACAAAAUUCUAUAACGACGAAUCAUUUUGUUCCGUGGUGUCACGAAUCUAAAAAUAAAUGAAUUUUUAUGAAACUGGGUAGAUAUAAUAAAAUAAAAUGAAGAUA